rnacentral:rRNA from 1 species
CCUACGGGUGGCUGCAGUGGGGAAUAUUGGACAAUGGGCGAAAGCCUGAUCCAGCCAUGCCGCGUGUGUGAAGAAGGCCUUCGGGUUGUAAAGCACUUUCAGUGGGGAAGAAAGCCUUGGGGCUAAUACCCUCGAGGAAGGACAUCACCCACAGAAGAAGCACCGGCUAACUCCGUGCCAGCAGCCGCGGUAAUACGGAGGGUGCGAGCGUUAAUCGGAAUUACUGGGCGUAAAGCGCGCGUAGGCGGUCUGAUAAGCCGGUUGUGAAAGCCUCGGGCUCAACCUGGGAACGGCAUCCGGAACUGUCAGGCUAGAGUGCAGGAGAGGAAGGUAGAAUUCCUGGUGUAGCGGUGAAAUGCGUAGAGAUCGGGAGGAAUACCAGUGGCGAAGGCGGCCUUCUGGACUGACACUGACGCUGAGGUGCGAAAGCGUGGGUAGCAAACAGGAUUAGAUACCCCAGUAGUC